rnacentral:rRNA from 1 species
GACGAACGCUGGCGGCGUGCUUAACACAUGCAAGUCGAGCGGUAAGGCCCUUUCGGGGGUACGACGAGCGGCGAACGGGUGAGUAACACGUGGGUGACCUGCCUUUACGCUCUGGGAGUAAGACCUCGGGAAACGUAGGGUCGUAAUACCGGAUAUGACCCUAUGGCGCAUGUUGUGGGGUGGAAAGCCUUGUGCGGCUAGGGAUGGGCCCGGCGGCCGUAUCAGCUUGUUGGUGGGGUGAUGGCCUACCAAGGCGACGACGGGUAGCCGGCCGUGAGAGGGCGACC